AGCUGCUCCAAGUGCAGUAGUGUUUACGACUAAUUGAUCACAGCAGGUUACAGAUUUCUUUGUUCCUUUUCCUCUCCCACUGCUUCACUUGACUAGUCUUUA
rnacentral:Y_RNA from 1 species